AUUGAACGCUGGCGGCAGGCCUAACACAUGCAAGUCGAGCGGUUGACGGGAGCUUGCUCCCUGAUUCAGCGGCGGACGGGUGAGUAAUGCCUAGGAAUCUGCCUAUUAGUGGGGGACAACGUUUCGAAAGGAACGCUAAUACCGCAUACGUCCUACGGGAGAAAGCAGGGGACCUUCGGGCCUUGCGCUAAUAGAUGAGCCUGGGUCGGAUUAGCUUGUUGGUGAGGUAAUGGCUCACCAAGGCGACGAUCCGUAACUGGUCUGAGAGGAUGAUCAGUCACACUGGAACUGAGACACGGUCCAGACUCCUACGGGAGGCAGCAGUGGGGAAUAUUGGACAAUGGGCGAAAGCCUGAUCCAGCCAUGCCGCGUGUGUGAAGAAGGUCUUCGGAUUGUAAAGCACUUUAAGUUGGGAGGAAGGGUUGUAGAUUAAUACUCUGCAAUUUUGACGUUACCGACAGAAUAAGCACCGGCUAACUCUGUGCCAGCAGCCGCAGUAAUAC
rnacentral:rRNA from 1 species